CACGUAGGCACCAAGCGUUGUCCGGAUUUAUUGGGCGUAAAGAGCUCGUAGGCGGUUCAGUAAGUCGGGUGUGAAAACUCUGGGCUCAACCCAGAGACGCCACCCGAUACUGCUGUGACUUGAGUACGGUAGGGGAGUGGGGAAUUCCUGGUGUAGCGGUGAAAUGCGCAGAUAUCAGGAGGAACACCAGUGGCGAAGGCGGUUCUCUGGGCAUUACCUGACGCUGAGGAGCGAAAGUGUGGGGAGCGAACAGG
rnacentral:rRNA from 1 species